GAUGAACGCUGGCGGCGUGCCUAAUACAUGCAAGUCGAGCGAACAGACGAGGAGCUUGCUCCUCUGACGUUGGCGGCGGACGGGUGAGUAACACGUGGAUAACCUACCUAUAAGACUGGGAUAACUUCGGGAAACCGGAGCUAAUACCGGAUAACAUGUUGAACCGCAUGGUUUAACAGUGAAAGACGGUCUUGCUGUCACUUAUAGAUGGAUCCGCGCCGCAUUAGCUAGUUGGUAAGGUAACGGCUUACCAAGGCAACGAUGCGUAGCCGACCUGAGAGGGUGAUCGGCCACACUGGAACUGAGACACGGUCCAGACUCCUACGGGAGGCAGCAGUAGGGAAUCUUCCGCAAUGGGCGAAAGCCUGACGGAGCAACGCCGCGUGAGUGAAGAAGGUCUUCGGAUCGUAAAACUCUGUUAUUAGGGAAGAACAAAUGUGUAAGUAACUAUGCACGUCUUGACGGUACCUAAUCAGAAAGCCACGGCUAACUACGUG
rnacentral:rRNA from 1 species